AUCUUAUGCAUUGGCUUUCUCAAACGUUCUCGCCAGCAAAAGGAAAUUACAAGGGAACAAACAGUUCAAGAUCUGGAGGGUAUUUCAGGCCAAUAUUGUGAAAGUAUCACAGCUAUGAACUAAUUUUCUCAUCAAAUACAGAGAAUAAGAGAAGAACUUGAACAAUUGCUGUUGGCAGAAAGGGUAUGAGAGAAUGUGGGUGAUUAAGUCAAAUGGAGAAAGGGACAUCAUGUCUUUGUUGUGUGCAAGUGUUUUCUCCCUGAGACAGGCAAGGAACCUGACAUCAAGAAUGGUUCAACUUAAAGAUGCUUCCUUGUACUCAUUCUCAUCCUCUUUAUACUUUCCGAUCUUUCUUCAAGUAGGAUAUUAAGAAUUUCCUGUACUAUUCUUUCUGAUUGCUUAUAAAAUAGUUUGCUCAUUAGAACCUUCAUUUUCUCUUAUCUUUUAUUUAUUUGUGUAAAUCAUUUUUCUUUGUUUAGUGACGCAACGAAUCUUUGAACAUAAUUUCUGUUGAGUUACAUAAAAAUGAUUUUUUAAAA